CGAAGGUCAAGGAAUUGCUCAAGAAGAAACAGAAUAACUGAAAAUAAGGUGGGGUAGCUCAAUUCCCAAAGCACAGCUACAGAAUGGGAACAUGCUUGAUGAUCUCCAGAGCUCCACACCAGGAAGUGGUCACUAAGGCACACAGAGGAGGAUUGAAGUUAUUGUCAAAUUCAUUUUGUGGCUUCAUGGCUGUUUUCCGUGGUUGCAUUUAUGUCAUUAAGUUGUACCCUUCUUUCCCCGGAAACAAAUGGAUUAGCUGCCUACUCUACUUACCUGAUGCAGUUGUGACGAGUAUCCCAGGUUACGGAGCAAACUGACAGAAAAGAGAUCCACAAUGAAGGCAAUUAAUCAAUUAACUGUACAAUCUGAGAAGAUUGACAAGCACAAAGGUGUCUAUUUCUUCAGCAAUAUGUGUUUCAGGGAUCAUUGAGGAAGAGGGAGAAGAAAGACUGUAAGGUGGUGGAUGGCUACAGCAGAACCGUUUCCUAGACAACACAGGACUGUUUCACAUGGAAUUCACAGUGGAUGACCUUCCCUCAGAAG
rnacentral:lncRNA from 1 species